GACGAACGCUGGCGGCGUGCCUAAUACAUGCAAGUUGAGCGAUGAAGCUUGGUGCUUGCCCCAAUUUGAAGAGCAGCGAACGGGUGAGUAACGCGUGGGGAAUCUGCCUUUGAGCGGGGGACAACAUUUGGAAACGAAUGCUAAUACCGCAUAACAACUUUAAACAUAAGUUUUAAGUUUGAAUGAUGCAAUUGCAUCACUCAAAGAUGAUCCCGCGUUGUAUUAGCUAGUUGGUGAGGUAAAGGCUCACCAAGGCGAUGAUACAUAGCCGACCUGAGAGGGUGAUCGGCCACAUUGGGACUGAGACACGGCCCAAACUCCUACGGGAGGCAGCAGUAGGGAAUCUUCGGCAAUGGACGAAAGUCUGGCCGAGCAACGCCGCGUGAGUGAAGAAGGUUUUCGGAUCGUAAAACUCUGUUGGUAGAGAAGAACGUUGGUGAGAGUGGAAAGCUCAUCAAGUGACGGUAACUACCCAGAAAGGGACGGCUAACUACGUG
rnacentral:rRNA from 1 species